AGAGUUUGAUCCUGGCUCAGGAUGAACGCUAGCGGGAGGCUUAACACAUGCAAGUCGAGGGGCAGCAUUUCCUUCGGGAAGAUGGCGACCGGCGCACGGGUGCGUAACGCGUAUGCAACCUACCUUAUACAGGGGGAUAGCCCAUGGAAACGUGGAUUAAUACCCUAUCGAACAGUAAUAUCGCCUGUUAUAACUGUUAAAACUUCGGUGGUAUAAGAUGGGCAUGCGUAGGAUUAGCUAGUAGGUAGUGUAACGGACUACCUAGGCAACGAUCCUUAGGGGUUCUGAGAGGAUUAUCCCCCACACUGGUACUGAGACACGGACCAGACUCCUACGGGAGGCAGCAGUGAGGAAUAUUGGUCAAUGGGCGCGAGCCUGAACCAGCCAUCCCGCGUGCAGGAUGACGGCCCUAUGGGUUGUAAACUGCUUUUUUUGCGCCAAGAAACCUGUCUACGUGUAGACAGCUGACGGUAGCGUAAGAAUAAGCAUCGGCUAACUCCGUGCCAGCAGCCGCGGUAAUACGGAGGAUGCAAGCGUUAUCCGGAUUCAUUGGGUUUAAAGGGUGCGCAGGUGGGAAUGUAAGUCAGUGGUGAAAUUCUGCCGCUUAACGGUAGAACUGCCAUUGAUACUGCGUUUCUUGAGUAUGGUUGAGGUAGGCGGAAUGUGUUGUGUAGCGGUGAAAUGCAUAGAUAUGACACAGAACGCCGAUUGCGAAGGCAGCUUACUAAGCCAUUACUGACACUGAGGCACGAAAGCGUGGGGAGCGAACAGGAUUAGAUACCCUGGUAGUCCACGCCGUAAACGAUGUUCACUCGCUGUUUGCGAUACACAGCAAGCGGCUGAGCGAAAGCAUUAAGUGAACCACCUGGGGAGUACGAUCGCAAGGUUGAAACUCAAAGGAAUUGACGGGGGCCCGCACAAGCGGAGGAACAUGUGGUUUAAUUCGAUGAUACGCGAGGAACCUUACCUGGGCUUAAAUGUAGAUUGCAUAAUUUAGAAAUAGAUUUUCCCUUCGGGCUAUUUACAAGGUGCUGCAUGGUUGUCGUCAGCUCGUGCCGUGAGGUGUCGGGUUAAGUCCCAUAACGAGCGCAACCCCUAUCGUUAGUUGCCAGCGGGUCAAGCCGGGGACUCUAGCGAGACUGCCACCGUAAGGUGAGAGGAAGGUGGGGAUGACGUCAAAUCAGCACGGCCCUUAUGUCCAGGGCUACACACGUGUUACAAUGGCAGGUACAAAGGGCAGCUACCGGGUGACCGGAUGCUAAUCUCUAAAGCCUGUCCCAGUUCGGAUUGGAGUCUGCAACCUGACUCCAUGAAGUUGGAUUCGCUAGUAAUCGGAUAUCAGCCAUGAUCCGGUGAAUACGUUCCCGGGCCUUGUACACACCGCCCGUCAAACCAUGGGAGCUGGGGGUGCCUGAAGUCUGCGACCGCAAGGAGCGGCCUAGGGUAAAACUAGUGACUGGGGUUAAGUCGGAACAAGGUA
rnacentral:rRNA from 1 species